AUACGGAGGAUGCAAGCGUUAUCCGGAUUUAUUGGGUUUAAAGGGUGCGUAGGCGGAUGAUUAAGCGUGAGGUGAAAUGCCACUGCUCAACAGUGGAACUGCCUCGCGAACUGGUUGUCUUGAAUGCUCCUGCCGUGGGAGGAAUGUGUGGUGUAGCGGUGAAAUGCUUAGAGAUCACACAGAACACCGAUUGCGAAGGCAUCUCACGAAGGGGUGAUUGACGCUGAGGCACGAAAGCGUGGGGAUCAAACAGGAUUAGAUACCCUGGUAGUCCACGCAGUAAACGAUGAUAACUAACCGCUGGGUCGUAGUGAUUCAGUGGCCAAGCGAAAGCGAUAAGUUAUCCACCUGGGGAGUACGACCGCAAGGUCGAAACUCAAAGGAAUUGACGGGG
rnacentral:rRNA from 1 species